GCUCCGUUAGUCUAGUCCGGUCAAGGAUGCGGCCCUUUCGAGGCCGAGACCCGGGUUCAAAUCCCGGACGGAGCA
rnacentral:tRNA from 1 species